rnacentral:rRNA from 1 species
UACAGAGGUCUCAAGCGUUGUUCGGAUUCAUUGGGCGUAAAGGGUGCGUAGGCGGCGCGGUAAGUCGGGUGUGAAAUCUCGGGGCUUAACUCCGAAACUGCAUUCGAUACUGCCGUGCUUGAGGACUGGAGAGGAGGGUGGAAUUCCCAGUGUAGAGGUGAAAUUCGUAGAUAUUGGGAGGAACACCGGCGGCGAAAGCGACUC